CACGUAGGGGGCGAGCGUUGUCCGGAUUUAUUGGGCGUAAAGAGCUCGUAGGCGGCUCAGUAAGUCAGGUGUGAAAACUCCAGGCUCAACCUGGAGACGCCACCUGAUACUGCUGUGGCUAGAGUCCGGUAGGGGAGCAUGGAAUUCCUGGUGUAGCGGUGAAAUGCGCAGAUAUCAGGAAGAACACCCGUGGCUAAGGCGGCUCUCUAGUACGGUACUGACGCUGAGACGCGAAAGCGUGGGGAGCGAACAGG
rnacentral:rRNA from 1 species